UACGUAGGUGGCAAGCGUUGUCCGGAAUUAUUGGGCGUAAAGCGCGCGCAGGUGGUUCUUUAAGUCUGAUGUGAAAGCCCACGGCUCAACCGUGGAGGGUCAUUGGAAACUGGGGAACUUGAGUGCAGAAGAGGAAAGUGGAAUUCCAAGUGUAGCGGUGAAAUGCGUAGAGAUUUGGAGGAACACCAGUGGCGAAGGCGACUUUCUGGUCUGUAACUGACACUGAGGCGCGAAAAGCGUGGGGAGCAAACAGGG
rnacentral:rRNA from 1 species